rnacentral:rRNA from 1 species
UACGUAGGCAGCAAGCGUUGUUCGGAGUUACUGGGCGUAAAGGGUGCGUAGGCGGCUUUUUAAGUUUGGUGUGAAAUCUCCCGGCUCAACUGGGAGGGUGCGCCGAAUACUGAGAGGCUAGAGUGUGGGAGAGGAAAGUGGAAUUCCUGGUGUAGCGGUGAAAUGCGUAGAUAUCAGGAGGAACACCGGUGGUGUAAACGGCUUUCUGGACCAUAACUGACGCUGAUGCACGAAAGCGUGGGUAGCAAACAGGAUUAGAACCUACCGUAGUCAGUCCAAGACCAG